rnacentral:rRNA from 1 species
AUUGAACGCUGGCGGCAGGCCUAACACAUGCAAGUCGAGCGGGGUUUUCGGACCUAGCGGCGGACGGGUGAGUAAUGCGUAGGAAGCUACCCGAUAGAGGGGGAUACCAGUUGGAAACGACUGUUAAUACCGCAUAAUGUCUACGGACCAAAGUGUGGGACCUUCGGGCCACAUGCUAUCGGAUGCGCCUACGUGGGAUUAGCUAGUUGGUGAGGUAAUGGCUCACCAAGGCGACGAUCCCUAGCUGGUUUGAGAGGAUGAUCAGCCACACUGGAACUGAGACACGGUCCAGACUCCUACGGGAGGCAGCAGUGGGGAAUAUUGGACAAUGGGCGCAAGCCUGAUCCAGCCAUGCCGCGUGUGUGAAGAAGGCCUUCGGGUUGUAAAGCACUUUCAGCGAGGAGGAAGGGUGGUGUGUUAAUAGCACAUCAUUUUGACGUUACUCGCAGAAGAAGCACCGGCUAACUCUGUGCCAGCCGCCGCAUAACAC